rnacentral:rRNA from 1 species
GAUACCCUAUUAUUAAAAAUGUGAAUAUUUAAAUGCUUGAUUAUUAAAAGUUUAUGAUCUUAAAAAUUAAAAAUUUUGGCGGUAUUUUAGUCUAUUCAGAGGAAUCUGUCCUGUAAUCGAUAAUCCACGAUUUAAAUUACUUUUUUUAAAAAUUUGCAUAUCGUCGUAGUUUGAAUAUUUUAAAAGAAUUUUUAAUAUUCAAAAUUUUUAAUAAAAGUAAAUCAGAUCAAGGUGUAGUUUAUAAAAAAGUAGAGAUGGAUUACAUUAAAUAUAUUUAAAGAUUGUUAUUUUUAAAAUUUCAUGAAUUUGGAUUUGAUUGUAAUUUUUCUUAAUUAAAAAGAAUGAUUAUAAGCUCUAAAAUAUGCACAUAUC